GACGAACGCUGGCGGCGUGCUUAACACAUGCAAGUCGAACGAUGAAGCCUAGCUUGCUAGGUGGAUUAGUGGCGAACGGGUGAGUAAUACGUGAGUGACCUACCUUUGACUCUGGGAUAAGCCUGGGAAACUGGGUCUAAUACCGGAUACGACCAAUCUCUGCAUGGGGUGUUGGUGGAAAGCGUUAUGGAGUGGUUUUAGAUGGGCUCACGGCCUAUCAGCUUGUUGGUGAGGUAAUGGCUUACCAAGGCGACGACGGGUAGCCGGCCUGAGAGGGUGACCGGCCACACUGGGACUGAGACACGGCCCAGGCUCCUACGGGAGGCAGCAGUGGGGAAUAUUGCACAAUGGGCGCAAGCCUGAUGCAGCGACGCCGCGUGAGGGAUGACGGCCUUCGGGUUGUAAACCUCUGUUAGCAUCGAAGAAGCGAAAGUGACGGUAGGUGCAGAGAAAGCGCCGGCUAACUACGUGCCAGCAGCCGCGGUAAUACGUAGGGCGCGAGCGUUGUCCGGAAUUAUUGGGCGUAAAGAGCUUGUAGGCGGUUGGUCGCGUCUGCUGUGAAGGCCGGGGCUUAACUCCGGUUUUGCAGUGGGUACGGGCUAACUAGAGUGCAGUAGGGGAGACUGGAAUUCCUGGUGUAGCGGUGGAAUGCACAGAUAUCAGGAGGAACACCGAUGGCGAAGGCAGGUCUCUGGGCUGUAACUGACGCUGAGAAGCGAAAGCAUGGGGAGCGAACAGGAUUAGAUACCCUGGUAGUCCAUGCCGUAAACGUUGGGCACUAGGUGUGGGGGACAUUCCACGUUUUCCGCGCCGUAGCUAACGCAUUAAGUGCCCCGCCUGGGUAGUACGGCCGCAAGGCUAAAACUCAAAGGAAUUGACGGGGGCCCGCACAAGCGGCGGAGCAUGCGGAUUAAUUCGAUGCAACGCGAAGAACCUUACCAAGGCUUGACAUGCAUUAGAUCGCGUCAGAGAUGGCGUUUCCCUUCGGGGCUGGUGUACAGGUGGUGCAUGGUUGUCGUCAGCUCGUGUCGUGAGAUGUUGGGUUAAGUCCCGCAACGAGCGCAACCCUCGUUCUAUGUUGCCAGCGGUUCGGCCGGGGACUCAUAGGAGACUGCCGGGGUUAACUCGGAGGAAGGUGGGGAUGACGUCAAAUCAUCAUGCCCCUUAUGUCUUGGGCUUCACGCAUGCUACAAUGGCCGGUACAGAGGGUUGCGAUACUGUGAGGUGGAGCUAAUCCCUUAAAGCCGGUCUCAGUUCGGAUUGGGGUCUGCAACUCGACCCCAUGAAGUCGGAGUCGCUAGUAAUCGCAGAUCAGCAACGCUGCGGUGAAUACGUUCCCGGGCCU
rnacentral:rRNA from 1 species